UUGUAAACCUUUUUUUUAUAUUACAUUAACAGCAUCAGUGUUCAUCCUUUUCUGGCUCUCUCCCUCUCUCAUUUACUUUUGUUCAUCAUCAUCAUCAUCAUCAUUUCCUUUCACAACUGACACUAACCCAUUAGAUAGGAUGAAUUCAACUGGGAUGAGCAAACUUGGGACACACAUCAAGAAGAAAAAAAACAACAAAACUCUUUAAAUGGAAAGAGAAUAAAGAGAAAAGAUGAGUUUUCCAACUUCUAAUGUGAGAUUUGGACAAAAUUUUCUAGAAGAAGCACAAAUAGAAUAUGAAUAAUAGACUUACCAUUAUCUGAUCCUUGGACAUUGUCCGACAUAAUGGUUAUGUGAAUGAGAAAAAGAGACAACCAAGAAUAAUAAAAAAUGAGCAGGUAGUUGAAAGGUAGAGAUGAAAAAAAGAGGCUUUUACUUGGUUCUACCUGGAGAGAGAAAAAGAGAGAAAGAGAAAAAGGAAAAAAAGAAAGAUGAUUGGAAUGUUAAAGUUGGUUCUCCGCUGGAAAUUGGUUACUUAUUUGUUCUAUUCGAUUUAAGAAUAUUGGUCUAGAUUGUUGUGUAAUAGAAGAAUUAAUUAUCUUCUAAAUUAAUCACAAUUAAAGGGAAUUAAAUAGGGAGAGAGACAAAGAUAAACAACAGAAUAUUUAACAUCUUUAUCCAUCAAGUCGACGCCUCUAUCAAUAGAAAAAUAGAAUUUAAGUUUCUCCUUUUUUCGCGAGAUGGUGACACUUACGUUUUUACUUUUUUCUAAAAUCUCACAAUUCAAACUCUUUUAUUUAUUUUUAAAACGAAAUUAAUUUAAUUGUUUUGAUUUGUUCUUUUUUUUAAUUCUUUAAUUGUUAUUCUUUUGAUUUCUAUUAAAUUAUGAUUAUUCUCAGGUUUUACUCAUGGGCAUCUGACGGUUACAACUAGAAAUUGAAUAUCAAUAAGGAUUUGGAAUCGCCAUGAGUCUUGUGGGUAUGGUAUUUAAUCUGAUAUGACAACAAUUAUUUUCUUUUCCUUUGUUCAUCACAAUUUUAAAGGGCUAAUGAUCUUAAAUUCCGUCUAGCCUGUGCCCACACCCAAUGGAUUUGAUUACUCACGACGGGUUGAUCACUUUACUAAACUUAGUAAUUAGUGGACUCUUCAACUAUCACCAAUUAACUUAAUAUGGAGACUAUAUCAAUAUCAAUCAGUCAAUUAAAAGCUUAAUGAAAACAGUUUAAGUUUUACAUUAAGAUCAAAUUGUUCAUGGUUGAACAAUUAAAUACAGAAUAAAUCAAAUGGCUUAAUUGAAUUGGUUCCUUAUGAAAUGAUGAGAAAAGUUAAUCAGUGAAAGUGGAUAGAUGUAUCAUCUUUAACGAACCAAAUCAACCCACCAGAUAUUGACUAAAUUGGUUCAAUUUCCCACAGUUAAUUGUCUCACAAAUUCAUUUAAAUAACUCAAAUGAUAUCAUGAAAGUACAUCAACAUGGUUAAGAGUUCAUUGGUCUACAACGGAACAAUCAAUUAAUUACAUUUUAAAGUAUCAAUAUCAUAAAAGAUGAUACAUAAAAAUGGAAUCAACAACAUGAUGAUGAUGAUGAUUUAAUCAUUAUCUAUCUAAUUUAAUUCAUGUAAAUCUAUAAUAAUAUCCUAAUAGUAUUAUUGG